rnacentral:rRNA from 1 species
AACGAACGCUGGCGGCGUACUUAACACAUGCAAGUCGGACGAGAAAGGAGACUUCGGUCUCUGAGUAAAGUGGCGCACGGGUGCGUAACACGUAAGUAAUCUACCCCGAACUCUGGGAUAACUCUCCGAAAGGAGGGCUAAGACCGGAUAGGGUCCCCGAGGUGUAGGCUGCGGGGGGGAAACGGGCCUCUGGUUCAUGCUCGUGGUUCGGGGUGAGCUUGCGGCCCAUUAGCUUGUUGGUAGGGUAAUGGCCUACCAAGGCAACGAUGGGUAGCUGGUCUGAGAGGAUGAUCAGCCACACUGGCACUGAGACACGGGCCAGACUCCUACGGGAGGCAGCAGUGGGGAAUUUUGCGCAAUGGGCGAAAGCCUGACGCAGUAACGCCGCGUGGAGGAUGAAGGCCUUCGGGUUGUAGACUCCUGUCAGGGGGAACGACGGGGAAAGGGUGAUAAGCUCUUUCUUCCAGACGGUACCUCCAAAGGAAGCCCCGGCUAAUUC